AUAUGUCUAGCUCAGUUGGUAGAGUACAAGACUUUUAACCUUAAGGUUAUGGGUUCAAGCUUCAUGGUGGACG
rnacentral:tRNA from 1 species